rfam:Pasteurellaceae bacterium NI1060 genome.
GAUCGACAGUGCGACUAAUACAACACCCGAAAGGGGAAUACGUCCGCUGGAGUUUCGACCAGUUUUGAGCUGUCGAUCACCCUAAC